rnacentral:rRNA from 1 species
CCCAGACUCCUACGGGAGGCAGCAGUGGGGAAUAUUGCACAAUGGGGGAAACCCUGAUGCAGCGACGCCGCGUGAGCGAGGAAGUAUUUCGGUAUGUAAAGCUCUGUCAGCAGGGAAGAAGAAUGACGGUACCUGAAGAAGAAGCACCGGCUAAAUACGUGCCAGCAGCCGCGGUAAUACGUAUGGUGCAAGCGUUAUCCGGAUUUACUGGGUGUAAAGGGAGCGCAGGCGGUUCUGCAAGUCUGAUGUGAAAGCCCGGGGCUCAACCGCGGGACUGCAUUGGAAACUGCGGGACUGGAGUGUCGGAGGGGUAAGCGGAAUUCCUGGUGUAGCGGUGAAAUGCGUAGAUAUCAGGAGGAACACCGGUGGCGAAGGCGGCUUACUGGACGAUGACUGACGCUGAGGCUCGAAAGCGUGGGGAGCAAACAGGAUUAGAUACCCCCGUAA